rnacentral:rRNA from 1 species
CCUACGUGUCGCAGCAGUGGGGAAUAUUGGACAAUGGGCGAAAGCCUGAUCCAGCCAUGCCGCGUGUGUGAAGAAGGCCUUCGGGUUGUUAAGCACUUUCAGUGGGGAAGAAAGCCUUGGGGCUAAUACCCUCGAGGAAGGACAUCACCCACAGAAGAAGCACCGGCUAACUCCGUGCCAGCAGCCGCGGUAAUACGGAGGGUGCGAGCGUUAAUCGGAAUUACUGGGCGUAAAGCGCGCGUAGGCGGUCUGAUAAGCCGGUUGUGAAAGCCCCGGGCUCAACCUGGGAACGGCAUCCGGAACUGUCAGGCUAGAGUGCAGGAGAGGAAGGUAGAAUUCCCGGUGUAGCGGUGAAAUGCGUAGAGAUCGGGAGGAAUACCAGUGGCGAAGGCGGCCUUCUGGACUGACACUGACGCUGAGGUGCGAAAGCGUGGGUAGCAAACAGGAUUAGAUACCCUGGUAGUC